GGUCAUGUUAGCAAGCGGCGGCUGUCGGGAUGCUGACAUCGAUUCGUCAUGCGUGUCAUCGUGCGUCGCGGCGUCCGAACCGGCGUAUGAUCGC
rnacentral:tRNA from 1 species